rnacentral:rRNA from 1 species
CGAGGGGCAUCAGUUUGGUUUGCUUGCAACCAAAGCUGGCGACCGGCGCACGGGUGAGUAACACGUAUCCAACCUGCCUCAUACUCGGGGAUAGCCUUUCGAAAGAAAGAUUAAUAUCCGAUAGCAUAUAUUUCCCGCAUGGGUUUUAUAUUAAAGAAAUUCGGUAUGAGAUGGGGAUGCGUUCCAUUAGUUUGUUGGGGGGGUAACGGCCCACCAAGACUACGAUGGAUAGGGGUUCUGAGAGGAAGGUCCCCCACAUUGGAACUGAGACACGGUCCAAACUCCUACGGGAGGCAGCAGUGAGGAAUAUUGGUCAAUGGACGCGAGUCUGAACCAGCCAAGUAGCGUGAAGGAUGACUGCCCUAUGGGUUGUAAACUUCUUUUAUAUGGGAAUAAAGUUGUCCACGUGUGGAUUUUUGUAUGUACCAUAUGAAUAAGGAUCGGCUAACUCCGUGCCAGCAGCCGCGGUAAUACGGAGGAUCCGAGCGUUAUCCGGAUUUAUUGGGUUUAAAGGGAGCGUAGGCGGAUUGUUAAGUCAGUUGUGAAAGUUUGCGGCUCAACCGUAAAAUUGCAGUUGAUACUGGCAGUCUUGAGUGCAGUAGAGGUGGGCGGAAUUCGUGGUGUAGCGGUGAAAUGCUUAGAUAUCACGAAGACUCCGAUUGCGAAGGCAGUUCACUGGAGUGUAACUGA